AAGGAUGGGUCUUCAGACGCUUGCUGCUUGCAGUAAGUUUGCUAUCGACCUGUUUUAGAAACAUCAGUGGCCAGCGAUUGGAUCAAUCGUUGAGCUGCAUUGGCGGGAUUUCGCCGUCUUCGUUUCUCUUUCUUCGCGGACGAACACGCGCCAGGCGUGGAUUGUCUUGAUGCGGUUUGCGGGCCUUGCUUGCGAGCCCUGCAUCGACAGCCACGCUUUGAGCCCGAGCUCUCGUCGUUAGGGCUUGUAGCUCAGUUGGUUAGAGCGCGCGCUUGAUAAGCGUGAGGUCGGAAGUUCAAGUCUUCCCAGGCCCACCACGCUUCGCUGCGCUUCGCGUGGCGCAGCCACGCUGAGCGCUGAGAAGCGUGCCCGGCGAAGCCCACUUGGGCGAAGACGGGCUUCUGACUUCAUUAGCUUCCAUCACAUCGCAUGAACUUCCGACGAUCGCUUCUAUUGCAUUCGUCUUCCGGGUUUGGGGCCAUAGCUCAGCUGGGAGAGCGCGUGCUUUGCAAGCAUGAGGUCGUCGGUUCGAUCCCGUCUGGCUCCACCACGCAGGACGAAGCGAAGCGUGCCCGGCGAAGCUCCUCUUGGGAGCGAAGACGGGCUGCUGAUCAGGCUGACGAAGCUGGCAAUGAGCCGUGUUCAACGAUCCUGGAAUGACCAGGGUCCAUCCGCGACAUAUCAAUUCGCAGCUUUGCGUCCUAACGGAUGCGAACUGCGGGAUAUCUGACAUCGUAUAGAGGAGAUCGAUCCAGGUUUUGGAUCUUGUGGAGCAAUCCACGGGGUUCGAAAUGCUAUCUCCAGGAUUUUGCAGUCGUGACCGUCGCAAGACGGCUUACGGAUGCUCAAUCUUUGUUGGUGACGCUUGACCGCCUCACCACUGGUUCGAUCUUACGAAGCAAGCUGGUCUUUCUAAUCAUGUCCAGCCGCGUUUGGCUCCUAUCGAGGGGGCAGGUUGGUAGCUUUCGAGCUAGCAACACGGAUGCGGUUACAUUCUGCCGAGUGUGUGGACAUUGAUAAUGAGAGCAAUCAA
rnacentral:tRNA from 1 species